ACACUCAGGGUGAGAGGGAGAUUCUGAAGCUUUGUGUUUCUUGCUAGCUAGUCAAAGGUGACUAAUUCAUGUGGAUAGAAAAAUAAUACAUGCCAAAAGAAAUUUGAGGAACAAAUUCAGCCCUGAGACAGGUCACGGAAACAGCCCUCCAGUCUUCCUCAAGAAAUGUAGACUGAAUCAGCAUUUACCCACCCCUGGAAAAACGCAGGAGCUGCGCAUUCCUGGGAUCUCAGCAGGGCUUUUGGGAAGAGCAGAACUGGGCUGGAGUCACGGUUUCUGGGCUGACUCUAGAUUUUCCCCGGCUUUUGCCACCUGUGAUGGCUGGAGAGUAUCUGAAGAUGACAGGUGACUCCAGGACCUAGGGCUCCCUCCUUAGGAGCAGGGUGGGGUACCAGGUUGCACACAGGUGAUGAUGGGGGGGGGGGUGGGCUGUCCAGCACACAGCUUGGUGAGCAGGAUUUGAGAUACUCACCCCACUUUCUGGUGAUACAGACCCCCUACUCCCAGUGACACAAGAUGGUUGGACCCACGGCUGAUUUACUGCUUUACUCCCAUUCUUUAUGGGGCCAGCUUUAAUGAGCACCCAAGCAGAAAUGCCUUUGACUCCUGCACUGUGAAUAACUGUUAUUAAUAAAAGGGCAAGCUGCUUGCCAUGGAACCUUG
ensembl:lncRNA LINC01823 long intergenic non-protein coding RNA 1823